rnacentral:lncRNA from 1 species
CUACUGGGUCAGUCCCACCCACAACUGGGACAGCCUAUGUCGAGCAACGUCCAUGGCCAGGAGGGCUCAGCUCACAUGUGGAAGGCCCUCACCUACUUCAUUGUGCUCCCCAAGGUGGCAAUAAGCUUGCUGAAUGUGUUCCUGAAGUCGCACCACCAUGGAGAGUACGAGACCCGAGGUCAUCACCUACCCCCAUCUCCACAUCACGUCCAAGCCCUUUCCCUGGGGAGAUGGUAACCAUUCUCUAUUCCAUAACCCUGUGUUAAUCCACUUCCAACUGGCUACAAAGAUAA